rnacentral:pre_miRNA from 1 species
UUUUUAGUAUAAAUAUGUCCCAAGUAAUAUUUGGGACAUACAUACACUAAGA